GAAAGUUUGUGUUUUGUUAGAAACAAACUCUACGAAAUGUACAAUAUAGAUUUGCUCCGAAAGAGCUAUAAAACUUGUCCAGUGGUGCCAAAACACCCAUGUCAGAGUCAAGACCUAGCUAAAUGUCCGCUAGCAACAUAGCUAUCAGUGGUUUCUGGAGGAGGGCCGAAGGGAGUGCUUCCCCGCCGGCCAGAGAUUGUUUGCGCCGGCCUCUUCACCUGAAAGAGCUAGCGCUGCAUGAUGAGGUGGUUCGCUAGCAACAAUUAGCUAUAGUCUAACGGUUAAAUCAUGUUGCCUUUGUUGAGGGAUGUUUGAAAUAGCCCGAUGUAUUCAUAACUGAAUAUUGGUUUCUUGUUAGAAACGAACACAUUUUGGAUAUAAUUUUGUUCUGAAGUUACAACAUGCCAAGUUAGUGUUGUAAGACUGUUGGCGCCAAAGUUAAGAGCUAGCUAAAUGUCCGCUAGCAACAUUAGAGCUAGCCAAACUGAAUAAUGAAUCUCUUGUCCGCUAGCAACAUUAGCUAGCUAAAGUCUUUUUUUUUGUUAGAAACGAACUCCCUUUGAGUAUAAUUAUGCUCUGAAGAUAUCCAGUUAAUGUACUUGAGCCAAAGUAAAACACAAAUACCAGAGAGAAGAGCUAGCUAGAAGUUCGUUAGCAACAUCAGCUUAUCUUUUAGCUGACUCAGAAGCUUGAAGUAGCCACAACUUAUGCCUGAUUUUUAUUGUUAGAAACGAACUCAUUUUGACUAUACACUUGCUCUGAAGUAUGUUUUAACACAUGUGCCUUUCCCUGUUCGUUGUGUAAAGGAAGUGAGUAAGUAAACUGAUUCUGAACUUGUUAUUGUGCACACAGUGUGCUGUUUUGUCCCAUUCUGUUACUGCCAACUCUGUGGGCUGUUCUCUCUGUGGAGAAACCACUGUCAGCCAUCAGAUCGUGUUCUUUUCAAUAAAUAGGCAUUACCUAUUUGACAGAUUUCUCCUGAAAUAAUGAGCCCAGAAACACCCAGAUGUGUAGGGUGCUUUUUUUGGCUUAAUCAAAGAUGCUUAAUUUGUAUGGUUACUGCAAUAAAUAUUUAGAUUUCUUUGCCCAUCCUUUUUGGAUCUACUAGUAGGCCUAGUGAUUUUAGAGGUCUUAACAAGUGGGCUAUGCAUCAGAUUUCAUUUCAAGUGAUGAGUAAAAUAUCCAGAAAGAUAUAUAAUCAGUUCUUUUUGCCCUCUAGCUUAGCACACUGAAUUCUUUGAGCCAUCUGGUGUCAAUCAGUGUGGGAAAAUGAUCAAUGAAAACAAUUUAAGAAAUGCAUCUUAUAGAUGUUUCAUAUUGUAGGCCUAUUCAGCCUAUUGUGUCAUGGUGGUGUUAUCAUUUUUCAAACUUUAUUUUUGUGUAAUAAUUAGGCAUAUUGAUACAUAAUCAUGUUCAUGUUUUGUGCUGUCUUGCUUUGCAGAUGACAGAAUAUUGCUGAAGGAUCCUACAUGGAAGCUGGCUGAUUACACGGAGUGAUUCCUCUGGUGUGGUGUACCUCAGAGAAAUAAACACUGUUGCAAGAGGUGAGUUUAAGUUUAUAAAGUCACACAAAACCUAUCCAUGUAUUUUUAAAAAGUCAAAGUUCUAACUUGCUCUGUAUUUCAUGCUGUCAAUAUGAGAUGCAUACUAAUGUUGUGUGUUAUUAUUGCAGCUGAGAAGAUGGCCAAGAUAUCCUUAUUGCUGGAUGGUAGCGUAGUGGACCAUAUCUGCAAAUGCUUCUGAACAUUGACAGAAUUUCUAAAGAUGACUGAGAAUAUUACUGAAGGAUCCUACAUGGAAGCUGUCUGAUUACACUGAGUGAUUCCUCUGGUGUGGUGUACCUCAGAGAAAAUAAACACUGUUGCAAGAGGUGAGAAGAUAUCCUUAUUGCUGGAUGGUUGCUCUCUGGUCGUACUUGAGCCCCCUGGACCAUGUCUGCAAAUGCUUCUGAACAUUGACAGAAUUUCUAAAGGAUCGCUGAGGACUCCCCCUCCAUGCGUGACAUCUUUGAGAAAUUUCCACGCUUUCUGGAGAUGCCAAGUUUGACUGGAACCAACUUUGCAUCCCUCGGCACUGACACUGAGAAGGUUUCAAGGACCCCACUACUAGGAGGCGAGAGUUUGACACGGCAUUGUCAUCACUGCCAUGGAUGACAACGUAACCAUUCCUGUUGCUGAUUGCCUGACUUGCGCAGUGACAAGCUUUUCAUGCUCUACUGGGUGUGUAACUUGGCAUAUCCACCACAGUUUAACUCUGUUUUUGCCUCUUUUGAAUAUGUGUACGAUAUAACCAUCUCAACCAACACGUGGGCCAAGGUACUGGAACAUUUCUCACUUUAAGUUGCUCUGUAGUCACUGGACAUUUUUUUAAACAUCUACGCAGUCACCACCACUCCACACCAUGUGCAUUUUAAUUACUUCUGAUUCCACUGACAUGCAGACUACAUCCUAUGCAAUUUCAGGUAAUUUACCUGGUACUGGAGAAACAGCAUUGUAUGCCAUUCUAAGUGAUACUUGCCUCGUUGUUUUGCAAAAAUGUACUGUUCUUUGAAUAUAACUUAAAGUAAGAUCAUGUUGACUCUGAGGUUUUCUCCGGUUGUCAAGCACAACCUUAACGUUUUGUAAGUAAGUAAUAGUCACAGGAUAUGCAUGCAUUUGUAAUUUGAGCACAACCUUAACGUUUUGUAAGUAAGUAAUAGUCACAGGAUAUGCAUGCAUUUGUAAUUUGAAUUUUCGUUGAAAACGGCUCACCAAGCAUAAAAUGUUACCUCUGCUUUUGAUUUUUCUUUUUUUUUAAAUGUCCCUUAAUACCAGCCUGUCUUUUUGUUGUGUCCACACAACUUUACCAUCAUCAGUGUUGGGAAGGAACAGAUUGCUGUAAGUUACUGUAUCCCCAUCCUUUCAGAUCAGUGCUUUAAAGCCUUUUGAAAUUAAAUUGUUAAUAAACUUUGUGAAAACAAACUCAAA